rnacentral:rRNA from 1 species
UUCAAAAUGAGAGUUUGAUCCUGGCUCAGGACGAACGCUGGCGGCGUGCCUAAUACAUGCAAGUCGAGCGAGCUUGCCUAUAGAAAUUCUUCGGAAUGGACAUAGAUACAAGCUAGCGGCGGAUGGGUGAGUAACGCGUGG